rnacentral:rRNA from 1 species
UACGAAGGGGGCUAGCGUUGUUCGGAAUUACUGGGCGUAAAGCGCACGUAGGCGGACUUUUAAGUCAGGGGUGAAAUCCCGGGGCUCAACCUCGGAACUGCCUUUGAUACUGGAAGUCUUGAGUAUGGAAGAGGUAAGUGGAAUUGCGAGUGUAGAGGUGAAAUUCGUAGAUAUUCGCAGGAACACCAGUGGCGGAGGCGGCUUACUGGUCCAUUACUGACGCUGAGGUGCGAAAGCGUGGGGAGCAAACAGG